rnacentral:rRNA from 1 species
UACGGGGGGGGCAAGCGUUGUUCGGAAUUACUGGGCGUAAAGGGCUCGUAGGCGGCCAACUAAGUCGGACGUGAAAUCCCCAGGCUCAACCUGGGAACUGCAUUUGUGACUGCAUCGCUGGAGUACGGCAGAGGGGGAUGGAAUUCCGCGUGUAGCAGUGAAAUGCGUAGAUAUGCGGAGGAACACCGAUGGCGAAGGCAAUCCCCUGGGCCUGUACUGACGCUCAUGCACGAAAGCGUGGGGAGCAAACAGG